rnacentral:rRNA from 1 species
GACGAACGCUGGCGGCGUGCUUAACACAUGCAAGUCGAACGGAAAGGCCCUGCUUUUGUGGGGUGCUCGAGUGGCGAACGGGUGAGUAACACGUGAGUAACCUGCCCUUGACUUUGGGAUAACUUCAGGAAACUGGGGCUAAUACCGGAUAGGAGCUCCUGCUGCAUGGUGGGGGUUGGAAAGUUUCGGCGGUUGUGGAUGGACUCGCGGCUUAUCAGCUUGUUGGUGAGGUAGUGGCUUACCAAGGCUUUGACGGGUAGCCGGCCUGAGAGGGUGACCGGGCACAUUGGGACUGAGAUACGGCCCAGACUCCUACGGGAGGCAGCAGUGGGGAAUAUUGCACAAUGGGCGGAAGCCUGAUGCAGCAACGCCGCGUGCGGGAUGACGGCCUUCGGGUUGUAAACCGCUUUCGCCUGAGACGAAGAGUGAGUGACGGUAAUGGGUAAAGAAGCAACGGCUAACUACGUG